GGGUGAUUAGCUCAGUUGGUUAGAGCGCGACACUGAUAAUGUCGAGGUCCCAAGUUCGACUCUUGGAUCACCCA
rnacentral:tRNA from 1 species